rnacentral:misc_RNA from 1 species
UCCGGUUUGGCACCGGCAGUCUUCCCAGAGUCCCCGGCUUUACCCGCUGGUAACUGAGAACAAGGGUUGCGCUCGUUGCGGGACUUAACCCAACACCUCACGGCACGAGCUGACGACAGCCAUGCAGCACCUAGUUUCGCGCCCUUGCGGGAAGCUCCCUUUCAGGAGCGGUCGCUAACUUUCAAGCCCUGGUAAGGUUCCUCGCGUACCAUCGAAUUAAACCACGUGCUCCUCCGCUUGUGCGGGCCCCCGUCAAUUCCUUUGAGUUUCACCGUUGCCGGCGUACUCCCCAGGUGGAUCACUUAACGCUUUCGCUUAGCCGCGUACUGUAUAUCGCACACAGCGAGUGAUCAUAGGUUACAGUGUGGACUAC